GGGAUGGGGAUGCGUCUGAUUAGCUGGUUGGCGGGGCAACGGCCCACCAAGGGUACGAUCAGUAGGGGUUCUGAGAGGAAGGUCCCCCACAUGGAACUGAGACACGGUCCAAACUCCUACGGGAGGCAGCAGUGAGGAAUAUUGGUCAAUGGGCGAGAGCCUGAACCAGCCAAGUAGCGUGCAGGAUGACGGCCCUAUGGGUUGUAAACUGCUUUUAUGCGGGGAUAAAGCGGGCGACGUGUCGCCCCUUGCAGGUACCGCAUGAAUAAGGACCGGCUAAUUCCGUGCCAGCAGCCGCGGUAAUACGGAAGGUCCGGGCGUUAUCCGGAUUUAUUGGGUUUAAAGGGAGCGCAGGCCGGGUAUUAAGCGUGUUGUGAAAUGUAGGCGCCCAACGUCUGCACCGCAGCGCGAACUGGUGCCCUUGAGUACGCACGACGUUGGCGGAAUUCGCCGUGUAGCGGUGAAAUGCUUAGAUAUGGCGAAGAACUCCGAUUGCGAAGGCAGCUGACGGGAGCGCUACUGACGCUCAUGCUCGAAAGCGCGGGUAUCGAACAGGAUUAGAUACCCUGGUAGUCCGCGCGGUAAACGAUGGAUGCCCGUCUAUUGCUCAUUAGAGCAAGUGCCAAGUGAAAACGUUAAGCAUCCCACCUGGGGAGUA
rnacentral:rRNA from 1 species